rnacentral:rRNA from 1 species
GACGAACGCUGGCGGCGCGCUUAACACAUGCAAGUCGCGCGAAGCGGCGGACGGGUGAGUAACACGUGAGUAACCUGCCUUUGACAUUGGGAUAGCCUCGGGAAACUGGGAUUAAUACCAAAUGGUCAAAGAUGGACUCGCGGCUGAUUAGCUAGUUGGUGAGGUAACGGCCCACCAAGGCGACGAUCAGUAGCCGGCCUGAGAUGGGGACCGGCGACAUUGGAGCUGGGACACGGUCCAAACUCUACGGGAGGCAGCAGUGGGUAAUAUUGCACAAUGGGGGAAACCGUGAUGCAGCGAGGCCGCGUGAGCGAAGAAGGCCUUCGGGUCGUAAAGCUCUUUUAUGAGGGAAGCGGUACCGGAAUAGAAAGCCACGGCUAACUACGUGCCAGCAGCCGCGGUAAUUC